rnacentral:rRNA from 1 species
GACGAACGCUGGCGGCGUGCCUAAUACAUGCAAGUCGAACGAAGCUGUUUUAACUGGUGCUUGCACCGACUUAAACAACUGAGUGGCGAACGGGUGAGUAACACGUGGGUAACCUGCCCCAAAGCGGGGGAUAACAUUUGGAAACAGAUGCUAAUACCGCAUAAUCACAGAAACCAAAUGGUUUCUGUGUCAAAGAUGGUUUCGGCCAUAACUUUGGGAUGGACCCGCGGCGUAUUAGCUAGUUGGUAAGGUAAUGGCUUACCAAGGCAAUGAUACGUAGCCGAACUGAGAGGUUGAUCGGCCACAUUGGGACUGAGACACGGCCCAAACUCCUACGGGAGGCAGCAGUAGGGAAUCUUCCACAAUGGACGAAAGUCUGAUGGAGCAACGCCGCGUGAGUGAAGAAGGUUUUCGGAUCGUAAAACUCUGUUGUCAGAGAAGAACGUGUGCGAGAGUAACUGUUCGUGCAGUGACGGUAUCUGGCCAGAAAGCCACGGCUAACUACGUGCCAGCAGCCGCGGUAA